rnacentral:rRNA from 1 species
AUUGAACGCUGGCGGCAGGCCUAACACAUGCAAGUCGAACGGUAACAGGAAGCAGCUUGCUGCUUUGCUGACGAGUGGCGGACGGGUGAGUAAUGUCUGGGAAACUGCCUGAUGGAGGGGGAUAACUACUGGAAACGGUAGCUAAUACCGCAUAACGUCGCAAGACCAAAGGGGGGGACCUUCGGGCCUCUUGCCAUCGGAUGUGCCCAGAUGGGAUUAGCUAGUAGGUGGGGUAACGGCUCACCUAGGCGACGAUCCCUAGCUGGUCUGAGAGGAUGACCAGCCACACUGGAACUGAGACACGGUCCAGACUCCUACGGGAGGCAGCAGUGGGGAAUAUUGCACAAAGGGCGCAAGCCUGAUGCAGCCAUGCCGCGUGUAUGAAGAAGGCCUUCGGGUUGUAAAGUACUUUCAGCGGGGAGGAAGGGAGUAAAGUUAAUACCUUUGCUCAUUGACGUUACCCGCAGAAGAAGCACCGGCUAACUCCGUG